UUCACUCUAAGUAUUGCUUAUAGCCCUGAUGGGAAAUUAAUUGCCUCUGGUGCUAUAGAUGGAAUCAUCAACAUAUUUGACACACAGACCGGUCGAUUAAUACAUACUCUGGAAGGUCACGCUAAGCCGAUCCGGUCACUGUGCUUCUCGCCGGAUUCCCAGCUGUUGGUGACCGGCUCCGACGACAACCAGAUCAAGAUCUACGAUGUACAGCAUGCUAACUCAGUCGGAACCCUCUCUGGACAUGGAUCCUGGAUCCUUAGUGUGGAUUUCUGUCCGGAUAACACCCACUUUGUAUCCAGUUCCUCAGACAAGACAGUGAAGAUUUGGAAUGCUGGCAGCAGGCAGUGUGUACACACGUUCUACGAUCACUCAGACCAGGUAUGGAGUGCCAAAUAUAACAGUGCAGGGUCUAAGAUCGUGUCCGUGUCUGACGACCGGGCCGUCCACAUCUACGACUGUCCACCUGUGUGAUGUCAUCACCAUUGUUACAUCAUCAUCUCAUUCAUCAUCAGACUUGUCAUCUGAACAAAAAAAACUUUUGUUUCUUUCAAACCCUUUUUGGGGUGUUUUUAAUCACACAUUGCUUUGUGUGGGUGAAAUUAAAGGGGAAAUGUACAGACAAUACAUAUAAGCUUUUUAUGCUGAAAUGUCGAGAAAAAAAAAGUAUGUUGAAGUGCUUUUAAGCAUGAUGAACUGUGAAAUUAAAUGCUACACAGAAAAAAACUAUGUCAUCAAUUAAGAGAUUAACCCUUACAGUCUUUUUAUGUUUACAUAUGAAUCUUUGUGAAAUAUGAUGUCAUUUUAUUUUACAUGUACAACAUAUGACUUACAAAAAUAACGACAGGGGAAAAUCCCAUGCACACAAAAUGUUUUUUAAAAACUGAAACACUGUUAAGAUUUGUAAAGGAAAGACAUUGUUAAUAAAAAUGGGCAGAUUUUAUCUGACAGUAUCAAAUUAUAUUUUUUAUAGAUCAUUCCUUAUAAAAAUGAACAUUGAGGAAAUAAAAUUAAAAAAUAAAGUU
rnacentral:misc_RNA from 1 species